UAUUCUCUUUCAUGUCCAUAAACAUGUUCAUAGCAGUGAUUUUGAAGUCCUUGUCUUUUGUUUCAGUUACAUUUCAUUUCUACGGGCCUAUUCCUUGUAGAGGAAGCUUAUUAUCUUGCCUGUUCAUAAUUGAAUUUUUUUGUGUUGUGAUUUAGGCAUCUGUGGUUAUGAUGUUUGAGUUGUUUGAUUGUGCGUUUAUUUCUUUGUUUGGUGGGUGUUCUGUUCUUUGUUUGCUGUUGGCCACUCUGGAUCCUAGGCAUGUGCAGUGACUGUGGAUCCCUGGUAGAGACUCUUUCUGUGUGUUGGUGGGUGACCCAAAGGAAUGGAGAUAGGCUAGGAGGGAAGGCUGAGAGGGCAGUGGAGCACAUCUAGGAGAAUCUCUUAAGCACCAAGAGGUGGAGGCUCAGGAAUGAAGUGCAACAGGACAUGAAGGCACCUGUCUCCUAGCCAGGAAGACCCCACCAAGAGAUCAACUCACCAGCAUUCUGAUCCCAGUCAGAACUGUGAAAAAUAAAAAUAAAUCUCUGCUGCUUGACUUCCCA